AGAACGAACGCUGGCGGCAUGCCUAACACAUGCAAGUCGAACGCUCAUCUUCGGAUGGGAGUGGCGCACGGGUGAGUAACGCGUGGGAACCUGCCCCGAGGUUCGGGAUAACCGAUGGAAACGUCGGCUAAUACCGGAUACGUCCUAAGGGAGAAAGAUUUAUCGCCCUGGGAGGGGCCCGCGUCGGAUUAGCUAGUUGGUGGGGUAACGGCCUACCAAGGCGAUGAUCCGUAGCUGGUCUGAGAGGAUGAUCAGCCACACUGGGACUGAGACACGGCCCAGACUCCUACGGGAGGCAGCAGUGGGGAAUAUUGGACAAUGGGCGCAAGCCUGAUCCAGCAAUGCCGCGUGAGUGGUGAAGGCCUUAGGGUUGUAAACCUCUUUCAGCACAGACGAAGCGACAAGUGACGGUAUGUGCAGAAGAACGGACCGGCCAACUACGCGCCAGCAGCCG
rnacentral:rRNA from 1 species